CAGGACAUAGAAUCUCAGACUUGCAAAAAUGAGAUAUUCUGGUAAAUAUUUUCAGAUUGUAAUACCAGGGUUGGUUGAGGAAAAAGAACAAAUUCCCAGAAAUAAAAAUGCUUAUCAUUACCUACCCAUACCAUGUUUAGCUCUAUUUCAAUAAAUCCAGCCUUCAGUUCUCCAAGCAUUAAAAAAGCACUACAACCCCUUCAGUUUAAAAAAAAAAAAAAAAAAAUCCCGUCACAAAUACUUAAAAUUAUUAUACUGAAAAAUGUUUUUGCAGUAGGCAUACUUGAUAUACAGCCACUGAACUGUAUUUAUUGCCAUCACCAUUGAGUGAUAAAAUUUAUGAUAAGUUUCUGGUUCUAGGCAAAAUUCUAUGAGAAAUCUCACACUGCAUCCAUCCUUUAUUAAUUUAUUCAUUGCCAUUAUUCCAAGUGUUUCACUGUAGUUUACAUUCUUAAGCAUUUAAUACUUAAGAAUACUUUUAGGAAAAGUACCAGUAUGUAUAUAUCCUGUUAUUACAGGAUAUAAAGUGGGUCACUCUGUUUUUAAAAUAGCUUAAUGGCAUAUGCUUCUAUAUUUCUAUACCUGUAAACUUAAUUGUUAUGUACCAUAUAUACAAUUAAAGCUUUCAUUGUAAACUACCUCAACUAUUCCUACUGUAAGAAAAUUUUAGAUUAAUAAAGAAAAAGUAUUGUGUCAGCUUUUGGGUUAUUUUCAGUUAUAUCAACCAGCUAUGACACAAAACUGGUCUGUAUUUGGUUCAUGUAAUUAAAUUAAUGUAUCCACCAAAAUAUGUCUACAAAAAUUAAGUCUGUUUAAGAAAGUUAGUAUGUUUUUAUAAGAAGAAUUGCAUAAAUAAGACAUAGUCCGGGGCCAAACUUAAAAUAUGUACCGUGUGAUCUUUCAAAUUGCCUUAAGGAAACUGCAUCCAGAAAAUUCUGAUUAUCAACCUCUAAGAAUAUCACAAGAAUAUCUUAAAUUUUUCUAAUGUCAAUAAAUUCUAUGAGCCUCCUCAUUAUUUUAAGAAUGGCUUCUUUGGUCUCGUUUGCUUUUUGCUUCUGUUCCUCAAAGAUUUUUUUUAAAAAGGCUGAAUAUUUAAAAGUGGGUAUGGACAAGAACAAAUUCUAAAUGAGAUCAAUAUUUUUGAGUGUAUAUGUGGUGAUGAAGGCAUCUUAUUUGUGCUGCAUAAGUUGCAGUCAUAAAUUAAAACCAAGCAAAUACCUCUACUUGGACGUGAAUGCAUAACUUCAGAUCUGAUCCCAAUUCUUCUUUAGCAGAAGUGCAAAAGUGCUGAUUUCUCACCACUUCCUAGUCAGUAAAUUGAAAGAACAAACAUUGACACAAACAUAAAGAAUGAUGACAGCUGCAGAAGCCUGUUCUACAUUAGGAUUGCCUCUGGUAGAAUUAAAUAUAAAAUAUUUUAUAAUUCUGUUUUCAUAAAAUUAAUUUAGAGAAGUUUGUUCUUUUUUUUUUUUAAUUCUAUGUUAAUCUCUCUGCAGAAUAUAGCAACAAUUUUUUCCCUAAGAAGCAUGAGUUAAAAGUGAUAAUUUAAAUCCUAUGGAUUUUGUGAAAUUGUAGAGCAUGACUAAUAGAUUUUCUAAAUAAAGCCAUUAGGGACAUGAUACAAAACAGUACAGUAUAAGAAUAAGCAAGUAAUUUUGGGGAUUUCAGCUACUGUUAAUCUCUAUUUGCACCCUCCUUGACUUCAGCUCUAUUCUUGCCUUUGUCCUCUUAUGCUUAGUCUUGAGUUCACAGCAGCCCCAUGCCACCUAACCUUCUCUUUGUUAUAGGUAGGAAUCAGCAUCCUGUGGUAAGAAAGUAGCUGUAAGAGAGGAUGGAACUCGUAUUCUAAUUGCUAAGUUCAUAAUGAGGGACAGGGGAUGAAUGAACACUUUUCCUACAUUAAUUCUACUAUCUGCUUAUUACUUUUAAGAGCUAAAGUUGAAGUACAAGAAUACCUACCCCUUCAGCAUACUCACCUAAAUUAUUUUACAUUUCCUAAAUUAUUGGGUAACAUUAUAUGCUAUCCUUGAAAAUUAAUCUAGUUGAUUAGGAUUGAAAGAGUUGUUGCAUAUUCCUGUAGACUUCCUAGAAGUUGUAUCUUAAACAGCACCUUUUUUUUCAAUCAUGCAAAAAGCAUGUCCACAGCAAAAGAUGAAGGUGUUUACCAAGAUUCUUUUUAUACAUAGAUUUUGCCACUGGUCUUCAUAUAAGCAUUGGAUUUCCAUCAUGGCUCCUUUUUCCUGCCAUUCUUUUUUCUAGUAUUUAAUACUUUCCCUGACAUCUGUAGAAGUCUACUGUGUACCAUGUACCUAAAAUUGCUCAGACCUUAAACAGGUCUUCAAUAUCCUUCCUUCUUUUGUCUAAGUACACUCAAUCUGUCAGCCUCUGUUUCUGGAUGUGAAGUCCAGUGUCAGGUUUUCUGGUCAGACUGGGAAAGUGUUUUAUUUCUUUCAAAGAUCAGUCUAGUAUUAGCUACAGAUAACACAUGACAGGAAGGGCAUGUUUAGUGGAGUUUACAUGCACUGUAAAAUCAGAAAGUUGAAAGACGUUUUAUGUUUUCUAAAUAUACUUGGCUUUGGUGUCAUUUCUUUGUUUCUACUGAACUACUGGGGUAUAAAGUCAAUAGCAUUUUCUGAAGAGGGAGAAGCUCAGUGACCAGUGUUUCUGUUAAAUGCAGACCUUUCAUUGUCACUGUCUGAUCUUCACUGACAGGCACAAAAUUUCAUUAGUCUCAUACAAACUGCAUGUAGAUAUAAUUUGAGAACUUCUUAUCUCUAUUUGUCAGAGAGAGCCUCAGCUGACCCUUCAUACAGUUUAAGAUCAGUUUGAGGUGUGUAAAAAGACCUCCUUAGGCAGUGGAGCUGGGACUGUUUUUUCCUCAAAGGAUAAGUAAUGCUAAGUCACAAAUAAUUAAAAGCAGACAAGUAAAUGCCUUGAUUGUUAAAACCGGUAUCCUGGCUGAGAGUGAGAGGUCUCCUUCACACAAUCACAGAGGUAUUUAUAAAAUAAAUUGCCUUGCAAUUCCUUGUUAUUCCCAAUUCUCAUUAUAUCAGUAUGAAAAUGGAAUCAGAUAAAAAGUGAUCUUGUGGUUUAUGCACUUUGAGUGCAAAGUUUCUUUUUUAUUUGUUUGUUUGUUUCAGGAAUCAGUAGUUGAUAUAAUAAACUUGCCAAUCAGUCAUAGGAAUUUUCACUUCUUUUUUUCAGUAUAACAAAUAUUCAUGGGCACAGUUAGUCAUGGAUUUCAUCUGAGAAAAGCAAAAUGUUUCUAUAUCUUUGGGAGACCUGCAAUAGUCUGGAAAAUUAUUAUGUUGUCUGUUCAUCCACUCUACUCUUCUGCUGUGCAUAUGCAACAGUAAGUUUUCCUCAUAAAAUUCUCAGCACAUAGGAUAUGCUAAGUAUAACCAGAAAAAUACAGUUGCACUUGAGGCUAGCAAGACUUUUGUUUUCUUGAAGGUGCUUUUGACCUCCAUCAUUCUAAAAUUUUCAUCUAUUGCAUAUGUUGAACAAUAUAAGCAUGUUUUGUGACUCCUUAUUCCUUGUGUGCUCAACUGAUGUUUCUGUAGAUAUUGAUAUUUAAGAGAUGUCUUGAAAUGACAGUCUUUGCCUAAAAAUUACACAGGGUUUUCUGUUUGCCUUCCAUUAUGAGGCCUCUUGAUUUGAAUUAGUCAGCUUCUUACAUGUGUCAGUGAUGUCACACAGUAGUAACUGGUGUGAAGGUUUGAUUAGCUCCCUUCAUGUUUUGCAUUAGUUUUUAUGAUUACUAGUAUUUAUUAUUCUUGAUAUUAAUCAUAAUACCUUCAGAACAUUGGGCACUUGGAUCAGGCUAUGGAAAAUAUUAAUAUCACAUAACUAACAACAGCAAAGUGCUUCAGUGAAGAACUUAGAACUAAGUCAAAUAUGAAAUAAAAAUUCAUUUUAAUCAUAUCUGCAAAUAGUUUGAGGUAUGAAAUACACCUUGUAUAAAUGAAUAUUUAUAUGAAAAUGAGAAAAUGAUGCAGAGAAGAAAUGAGAUUGUGAUCUGGAGAAACUAUGACCACUAGGACAGCAAUUCCCUCAGCUUUUCAGAGAUGCUUCUUGAAAUAGAUCUUAAAUUUUAUCUCUUCUGAAUUACUCCAAUUCCAUUUAACUAUAUCCCAUUUUACUAAACUGAGUUAAUUUCUCUAGUUGUAAUUAUUUAUUGCCAACUAUUAUAGAAGGGGCCUUGCAAAAAGCAGCUCAACUACAUGGUGAGUUCCUUGUCCAGUUCCAGUGAAAAUUCAGGCAGUGCAACUCUUACAUGAAUCCUUUGGUUGACAAAGACAUGGGUUGACGACAGAGAAUAUUAUACUCUCUCAAUUCUCUUGUACUGGUGUGGUCUUCAAAUUUUAAAGUAUUUCUGUAUUUUACAACUAAGUGGUAGAGGGUAAGAUGGCUGAUUUAAGAUGAUGGUACCAUUCCACACAAAAGGAAAGAUCAGUAUUUGUGAAGCAACAAAAUCAGAUUCUCAUUUUGUGCUCCUAUAUUUCCCCUAUCUGUUGCGUUGCGGUCAGCACCCUCUCACCGCGACAACCUGAGCGCGGGCGUGCUGGGGGGCGAAGGAAGAAGACGGCCGGCUGAUCCCCCUGUGAAGCUCUGCAGUCCCAGUACUGGCGCGGGGACAGAUGGAGGCGACACGGGACUUGGGGGUGAACAGGAUGGAUUUAUUCAGUGAGCCCCAAGACCCUCCAGGGAGGGCAAACAAAGAUUUUAUACAAGAACUCAGGAGGAGGGGUAUAGGAACAGUAACUAAUAGGUGAAUAGUAGGGGAGGAGUUUAGGGCAGGACUAACAUAUCAUAAACCUAUCAGGGAAAACAGGGGAGUGGAGUAACACAAAGUAACCAAUAAGGUGUUGAGCCUCACUAAAUAGGCAGGGACUGUCCUGGGGAAAGGGGCAGGGAAAGGGAGGAUUGACAUCUUGGAGAGAAGGGGGUUAGUAAUAAACUAGGGAAGAUUAACAACUGGGGAAGGGAGGAGAUAGUAGGGGGUGGGUAUGAACAGACACUGAAAGAAUAAAAAACAUGCCACCACAUCUAUCUUUUAUUAUUUCUUCCCCUAAAUUUUAUGUUAAGGCUCAUAUUUUAUUUUCUUUGUGCAUUUAUAAAAUACUUUAUCUGGAUGUAUAAAAAAACAAAAACUAUUCUAACAACAACAACAAAAGUUUAUAUAAUUUUUAAGCUAACAAAAUGUUAAUGCUACUAAAAUCUAAAAUUUGGUCAUGCAUAUAGGUGAAAUAUCUUCCCAUGAACAGAAAUAUUAAAAAAGAGAUACAAGAACCAUCCUGUAAAAGCAUAAUCUGUUUCACAUUUCUUUCCUUAUUUGUAUUUUCUUUAUUGUUUUGUUUCAUUUUGUUGUCAUAAAACAGUGCUGUUUUGCUAAUAAAUUUAUUUUAAUUGUCUUUUUGAAGAGGAAGAGUGAGGGAUUAUAAAAGGUUGUUUUCUCCUAGAAACAUGACUUUUUUUAUUAAAGUUCUAAACAGUUUACAAAACAUCUAAAAGUUUGUGAGACAUUCUAAUAUAUCCAGUUUUCCUAAAUAUUAUUGGUUACCUGUGAUUUUUAUAAAGACUUUUAUACUAUUUCUAUAUAAAUUAUCUUUAUACUUCUGUUUGAGAAUCUAUGAUUUAACAGGGCAUAAAGUAGGAAAAAUAUGGGAUAUAUCAGGUCUUUAUACUAAACACUGCCCUUAAAUGAAAUUAUAUCUACAUCUCGGAAAUAAGUUCGAUAAACUAGAGCUAUAAAUAAGAAGUGCCUUUGCAAAUAAAAUGUUUGCUCUUAACCAUCAAAAUAUUGCAUUUUUAACUCAACAUUAAAUAGACAAGGUUUCAAGAAAAUUAAAUCUUUAUGCAUCGUAUUUAUAUGAAAAAAUACAGAGCCACCAAUAAUGAAAACCAAUUAAUUGAUGUUGUUUCACUGGUUAAAUAUAAAUAUGGCCAUUUUCUAACAGGAAAAAUUAUAUGGCUCCAUUAAACAUUUUUGUGUCCCUCUAAUAAAAAAUAUUCAUAGCAGCUGCAGUAUUAUCUUUUAGAAGUAAGCACCAGCACAUUUGCCAUUUGGUUUAGUGACUUUUUACAAUGGUUGAGAGUUGCCAUUCUCUGGUAACUCUAGAUAUACCGUUUGAAGUUGAGAUCACACCUCUGAUUUGAUUAUGCUGUAGAAAAACUUAGCCAACUUUUCAAAGAAAGCCACUACUUCCACAGUUAUCAAGAAAGAGCUACUACUAGAUUGUACCACUGGGCUUGGCAAUACAUUAUGUGUCUCCUUUUUUUGUCACUCAUUGCUGGUAUCCAGCUAUUUGCCACUAAGAAAAAGAAGAAAAACACUGCAACAAGUAUUAUCCAAAUAAUAUUAAGCACCAGGCUAAGCAGGCCUUGAAGCCAGUUUCAUCUCAACAUGAGAAAGGUUUUCUUCACCUUUGUUACACCAGCGUUCAAAGAGACUGAAAAAGACACCUGGGUCUCCGCAUGCCUGGGAGUCCUCAAAUUACCAACCUGGUGUGGCACUGAAAAGGCUGGCCAAAUGGCCAUACUUUAGGAAAUUAAACUGAGGAUUUCUGAAGUUAAUUCAGGUCUAUCUGAAAUAUAGUUUGGUGUUAAUAUUGAAGACAUAUGUUCAGUAAGUUCAAUGCCAAUAAUGUCAGAGUCCCUGCCUUUCCAUUCCCUAAGUGUCUUUCAUAUCUUCUGCUGCGCUCACAGUGUGCCUUAUGCUUUUAUUUUAAACUGUGACUCCAUUUCCAAGUACAUGCUGUAGCUUCUGGGAAACCAUUCAUAAUUAGAGAAGUUUAAUAACCAGAAUGAAUAUUUAUAAUAUAAAUUAUUUGAUGCAUAAUCUUAGUCAUAAAAUUAUUUUCUUCAUGCAUUUCUGACUAGCUUUAGUGACAGCAGCACCAAAAUAUUCAUGAAAUACAAAAUGCUAUAAAACAGCAUGUUACAUUGAGCUGUACAUUUCUCUGAGACAUGGUCUUUUUCUUCAUUGUAAGAAAAAAUAUUUCAAAGAAAAACAGGAAAUUGCUAUAUGCCAUAAAUAAGAUAGAUUUAUUUCUAGCAGAGAUAUGCUGUUUUCACUCAUAAUCAAAACUGUUUUAUUAAGCAAGAUUUUCCUGGAGACAAAAAGGACCACAAUGUUGUAGUGCUGUUUUCAUGUUGGUAUUGUGUUCAUAUUAUUUAUUAAUAUAAUUCAAGUUUUUCAUUGAUUUGAUAUGUGUGAAAUGGUCUACCUGGCUCACCACCAUCAGUUGAAAUAUUAUUGCUUCUACUUCUUUUACCUUCUUUUUGAAACAUUUUUUUUUCCUUAAGUGAAAUAUUCUGUUUUGGUGUCUAAUUCAAAAUGGUCAUAUUGUUAUUUCUGUUCUGUUCUGUUUACUUCUUUCUGAUGAAAUACUUCAUACAAUGUCAUUUAGCAUUUCAAAUAUAUAGUUAUAGUCAUUAGUUGCCUUGGUGAUGAAUGUGUUUUGUACCUGAGGGACAGUUAUGUGUACUUCUCUGAUGUAUUGAUGUAGAUUAUAAUUUGACAGGAACAUUCUAUGUAUCAGAAUUUUACUGGUAAGAAAAUGCCAAUAAUGAAUUUUAUGAGACUAAUUAAAAAUAUAAUUCAAACACCAUUUCUUUUAAAUUUGUAUUACACAUGAUUUUUUUCCAAGACAAUUCAUUAAAAGGCCCGCUACAGUUUGUAAUGGGAGUCUGCAUCUUUUGGUCAUCCCAAAAUUUCUUUAACAAACCUUAGCAAGACAAGCUCACUAUAAAGAUGAAGGCAAAAACACAUUAAUCAGAACAAAGCUAGGAUUUACUGCAGAAGCCCCAGAUGAUUAAAACCCAAAGAGUUAGCUCCUUGGCAAGGAAUUAUUUAAAGGUGGCUUACACAUCCAUUGUGCGUCCGUCAAAGGAAAAUCCCUAAGCCAUUCUCAGGCCUCUGACAGAUAGCCCAGACCUCUGAGCUGCCAUUUCAAAGUGGAGUGGAAAUUAUCAAAUGGGUAAGGCUAGAGGGAAGUAUUUCAGACAUACCCUUCUAUGUGGCAUUUCUCUCUGGACUGGCUGCCCAACAUAUGUUUUUAAGUGAUUUUAUGAACUCUUACUCUUCCAAUUUCAACACAGAAAGAGGAGGGACCUUACUUUCUGCUCUGCAUUCUGUGUCAGGUCCAAAGUAGUUUAAAUACUCUAUUGAAAUAUGCUUAAUUUUUAUUUUAAUAAAAUUUUUUAUUUUUAUUAUCAAAAAUAUUUUUCAUCUAUCUUAAAGAAUUUAACAACAGCACCCCAUAAAUACACACACCCAUUUCUUUAAUGGCCAUAUUAUGAUCUCCAUGUUCACAUCAGGAAACAGUUAUUGCAUGACCAUGCAAUGCAUGCUUUUAGCCUGGCCCUGAAAGAGGAGUAUGAUAGCAAAAACUUAGACUUUUCAACCAGAAUUCAGUAUAUCUACCUUUUAACAAAUUGCUCUGGAACAUGCUUUUUUAUUGCAGAUCCUUUAUUCUCCAGAAACUUUAGAGUUUAUAGUGAUAGCUUUGAUAAUAUUAAUAGACAUAUAAUAGAUGAAGACAGUAAUUUAGUAAGAAGUAAGUAUGAAGAGGAAAGCGUUGUGUAGGAAUGUAUUCUCACUGGGUAACUGGCAUGAGGUAUCUUUCAUGAGCUGAGGCGGCCAGCGUAGAGAGGUUUUGCCAGAGCUCAUCUCUGACAGGUCAGGUCAAGCAUACUCACCACAGCAUCACUCUCCAUAUUUUGUGGCCCUGUUCUGGAAGUUCCUUUAAUGUAAUGUCCAACCAAUAUUUCAAUUAUCUUAAGUAAUUCACAAAGUUUCAGCUGCAUUUUCAUUAAGCUCUCAACUCCUGCCACUAUCAACAUGCUCGACCUUUUAAUUCUUCUUGUAAAUCAGGUCUCAGAUGAGCAGCUCAUAUUCUAACCCAUUAACUGCCAGGACAGUCACAAGUCUGAGCAAUUUCUCACAAUGACUUAAGACUAAGCAGUAUCACAGAACUGGAAACAUCAGUACUGCCACUCUCAGCUUUGUACUUUCUUAGGCAGUGGCUGUUGCCGCAAUUUCUGCCAAUUUGGGAAAUUGUGAUGGCAUAUUUUCCCUUUGUUGACACACAAAAAAAAUGCGCUAUUACCUUCUUGUUUUAUUUGUUUGGGAACAUUUUUUCCUCAUGUCUCAUGUAUAAAUUAAUGCUGAAUAUUACUUUUUCCUGGAUAGAUCAGCAACUUAUGUGCAAAUUGGACUAUAAUGCUCUUGCUUCCAAAACCCAUGAUAGGAGGAACUAUAGCCUGCUAAUGAGUACUGAGGGACCAUUUGUAGCCUUCCAAAAAAUUCAGGGCACUGUAUUGUUUAAACUUGUGAGUAUUAUUUUCAUAAAGGGUUAUGAGCUGUUGCAUGUAUUGUGGUAAAUUAAACUUUAAAAUAAUCUUUUUUAAAUCACUGGAAUUACUCAGUGGAUACAUGCAGUCUAUUGUGUAUGAUUUAGGUGAUUCCCCACUUAAAAGGAACACUUUACUAUAACUUAUUUGAAUUUCAUUGAAUUCGCAGCACAAAUAUGCAAAGGGAAAAAGAUCUAGAACCUUUAUUCUUUCUCUCCCUAUCACAUGGUUUCAGUAUAGAGAUCCCUCAUAGCACAGAGGAUCAUUUGGUCCAACCUUCCUGCUACAGCAGGGUAAUCCUGGAGCAUAUUGCAGAGAAUUGCUUCCAAACAUUUCUUGAAUAUCUCCAGUAAGGGAUACUCUGACACACCUCUGAGCAACCUAUUCCAGAAAACAUAAACCAAUUAUUUACUGGCUUUCACAGACAAUAUAGGUCUAAAAUUUAAGAAGCUAUUAUCCUAAGGAUUAGAAUCUUUAUUCUUCUGCUAAGGCACCUUAAAAAAAUUGAAAUAAUCGGUCCAGUAGGUGAAUGAUUUCCAAAGGAACUUCAGAGUGAUGUGCUGGAUAUGGGAGAGAAAAGCUGUAGAAAAAUAAACAAGGAUAAAACUCACCCACAAAAAUUUUGCCUUAAAAGGUAAAUACAUUAUAUAACCACAAAAAAUCUGCUGAACUCCAUCAGGAAAAAAAUCUCAUCAUACAUCCCUCAUUGCAUCAUCUGAAAGCUGAGGAAUAAAAAUCAAAAAGAACUACUGAAAAACCUUCUCCUUCCAUAACCCAAAAUUUUGGUUAUUUUGCAUUGUUUAAGAAAAAAAUUUGGUUUUGAAUUUCAUGAGCUGAGGCAGCUGUUGUGCAGAGGUUUUGCCAGAGCUCAUCCCUGAUGGGUCAGGUCAAGCACACUCACCACAGCAUCACUCUCUGUGUUUUGUGGCCCUGUUCUGGAAAUUCCUUUAAUGUCAUGUACAACUAAUUUUUUAAUUAUCUUAAAUAAUUCAUAAAGUUGCUUGUGGAACCAAGCCUCCACCAGAACCUCUCCUGUUGCUUGGUAUUAAUUCAGGGCCACCUGCCUACCAGCGCUGUGGCUAUGCUGCAAUGCUGCUGCUGCUGUCUGCCAUGCUGAGACUCCUGACACGAGCUGUUCUUUGUCCAUUCUGGGGGUUGAAUACACAAUCUGUUGGCUUGAAAACUGAAGUAGAAAAUAAUGUGUGAGCUGCUUUCUUAUUUUCUAAAUGAGAAUAUCUUAUUUAUGUGUACUUGUAUGCAAUAAAAAGGAAGGUAAAAAAUCAAUGCUGACUUUCCCUUCAACAUAAUGUAUAAGAGCAUUCCACUGAUUUCUUCCUUUUCCUAUCUUUUAGUUAGGAAAAUCAGAUGAAGAAGAAUUACAGCCCUGUGUGUGCUCAGGGGGGAAAAAAGAGUUUUCUGUUGCUUUCUGAUAAGAUGCACUGACAGUUUUAGAAAAUACGAAGUGAGACUAUCACCUCACUUGAAAGGAGGUGCAAGUGGAAGGCAGCCGUACUAACACAGCUGUAUGCUUCCUUCUCUGGCUGCUGACCCAAAGCCAUCAAAGCUCUUUUAACUGCUGGCCAGUCAGGAUAGUUCUGGAAGAACAGAAGGGUCAGUGCGGAUCAGUCUCAGUACUGAAAAAGAUUGGCGCAUUUUCCAAAUUUACUCAGAAAAGGGAGAGAGUAGGUAGUUAUGUACAUAAUCAUGCAACAUGCUCCUAAAGCUAUAAUUCUUAAACAAAAAUUACAUGUGGAUUGCAAAACUGCUUAUGGAUUAUGGCCAAUUUGAAUAAUUUAAUUUCUUUACCAGAGCCUCAAAAAUUGAGGUAAUUACCUUGUUCUUAACUGGGGCUAGCAGUGAAGUUUUAGCAUUCCCUUUGCCUCUCUUGUUUGCAGGAGUUAAGAAUAUCACCCACAGCUUUUGCAGCUGUAUCCUUCUGUAUUUUAAUUACCAUUUUGCAUCCUGGAUUUUUAGUAAAGAGAAUUGACAUUAAUUGCUUUAAGAAUUUAAUAAUUAAAAUAUUGUAUUUAGCUUGUGGAGUGUUAGAUGAUAAAGGAAAUCAUAUUAAAAUGUAUUUUAACAAGUAAGUAUUAUUUCAAUAUUUAGUUUUGCUGCAAAAGAGAGUGGCUAGCCCCAGGCACAAAUAAAUUCAGUAGGACCUUCUAAAUUAUAUCCUGUGAUUUCAGAUCAUCUCCCAAACCUGAUGCUACGAAACUAUCCCAAAUUUCAGAACCUCCCUCAGGUUACCUGUCUGUUCCAUGAUGUGAAUGUCAAACAGAUCCGGUACUCCAUCAUAGUAUAUCAGUGUUAGCUCUGUUCCAGGAACAGCAAAACAUUAAGAAGUUAUAAAGAUAUACAAAUAAAACUGUCUUUUUUUCUGACAGAAAUAAUUUUGUAAACAUAACAAAAAGGAAUAAAAAUUAUGCAAUUGUCAAAAUUUCACAUUCUAUGUGAGAAUAUUUAAUUUUUUUUGUUGUUAAACAAAAGUAAAUAUGCAGUUAAAAUAAUUCAACUGUACCUGAAAAAUAGUAUUUAAAAGAUUUUUGUCACUAAAAUAAAAUUUCAGUUAAAAGGACUUUUUAGCUUUAUGUUGUGUUAAUGCAUACAGAGUACCCUACUCUCUUCUAGCUAAUUUUCUUUUUAAAAUAUUGGGUAGGAGAUUCAUAAUUAGGGCUGAUAACACUCCUACAAAAAUCCUAUGAUAGUUGUUUUAUAUAAUUUGUUUUUUCCUCAUUUCUAUCAACUGCACUUAUAGAGAAAAUAUACAGUUCUUCAAGAUCUAGAGUGGCAAAUCCUGCAAAGUGAGAAAGGACUUCCCCUGGUACAAACUUUUUGAAGAGUUUAAGAGAAUUUUGAGAAAGCACAUCAUAUUUUACUCUGUUAAGAACAUAUUGAAUUUUCAUUUACUUAACAAAAAUAAAAUACAUUCAUACAGUCUAGUGAGUUUUUGUGCCAAUGCAGAUGAUUCCCUGAUCAAGAAAAAGGAGAAUUUCUUUGCUUCUAGUGUCUGAGGGACUCUGACCCUGAGGAAGUCAUGAAACUUGACAUUUCAAGAGACUGUUCCAUUGAUAUAAUUCCUACUUUUACUUGUCCUAGGUAAGUCAUACCACCUGUUCAGUUGCUUUUGGAAAGUGCAAGAAUGGCUAGGAACUAUAGAAAAGGCCGAACCCAUUCUCAUAAACCAAUAUAAACAAUUUGGUAAAGAGCAAGGAGAGGUAGUUCCCAUUAGGUCACUGCAACUUUGCUGGUGUUUUUGGAAUUUAAGGAAUUUCAAGAAAACUUAGUUGAAAGAAAGUUGCAUUAUUAGUUUUGCUUGUGUGACACUUCAUAGCCAUGAAUGGAGAAAUGGGAUUAAAAUUGUUCCCAUACUUUGUCACAUUUAAAACAAAUGGGAACAUUUCAACAAAUUGAUUUGGGGUUGCCAAUAAUUCUCUUUAGUCCAUUCUAUUUUUGCAGCAAUAUGUGUUUGAGAAAGAUCUUUUCAGCAGAAGUUUUGUUCUGACUUUAUCCUCCUUGAUCCUUCCACACACUGUAUUGAUUUGCAUGGCUUCUACAGCGUCUGCUCUGCACUGCUGUUUGUAUGCAUCUUCUUAUCUUAGCAUAUGUUUUCAACACUACUUCAAACUAGUUUAUCUCCUGCAUUUUACUUUGCAUCCAGAAAGUUAUCAUUUGCCUUAUGAUUAGUUUUGGACACACUGCUCAGAGGACUACAUUGACUCCAAAAAAUACCCUGACAGUUUCCUUACUUUAGAUCCUACAUUUCCUUAUUUAACAUAUUAUUUUAAAGUAUUUUCAGAAGCUAAUGAUUUUUUUAAUAUUCUCUCUUAGUUCACAGAACAUUUGGCCACAACUGUAUGCAAAAAGGAGAUCCAUUUGACUUUUGAGUUUCCAAAGGAAAUUCUACAUGACUUUUUACUUUAUGUAAUGAGAGUGUAUACAUUUUUUUUUGACAUAUUUUUUAUGUGUGUGCUUUCAAAAUUCAUCUUUAUUUCUGUUUUUCAUAAAUUAUACUGGUGUUUCUGCUUUCUUAAUCAUCUUUGACUGCCUUUCUUGUCUGCAAGACACUUGGCACCUUUACUUCAAGGGGUGGAUAUUCUUGGUGGGUACCAUUUCUAGGCAUGGGAGGAACGAGAUUAGUGUUCAGGUUGUGAUACCCAUGUAUAUGUUGAAACGUGAACACAACAUCUAAUGUUGCCAUAAACUAGCUUGAUCAAUUGUGCUAUGGCAAAAGAGACUACUGGGACACAUAGCCAGCAGUCACCUGGGGUGUGGGAGGGUCUCCCAGAGCGGGCUGUUGUGCUAAUUUCACUCUAUUAUUUCCCAUAGAAUCUGUAAAGUCUGAUUCUUUGAUAUAUGUCUUUGCUUUGAAUUUGUUUUAUGAAUUUGUUUUUCAUUACUUGAUUUUAUUUUGCAUCAAGGCUGUAUUUGAAUUUGCUUGUUAGCAGCUACUACUACACUAAGAGAGGUUAUAAGACAUUGCUUUUUACAAACACAUCUUCUACUAGAAAAACAAUCUAUUGAAUAUUUCUGUAGUUUUACCUAAUACUGCAUAAUUUCUGUGAGUAAACUGGUAAAAGAGUAGUGUCUGUGUAUGGAUGCUGCACAAGAGUUUCUGUCUCCAGCAUUCUCAUCUGUUACUCAUUUUCAUUUCAGAGCUGUACACUUCACUGCUCAUAGGUGAGCCAACUUUUCUGCAUCUGUGGCAGACUGGAAAACCUUCUACUCCUUUUAAGUUAAUUUUUCCUCUCCUUUUCAAUUAUGAAUUGGAAUUAAAAUUGCUUUCUUUCCUAUCUGUAUUUUCAUUCCUCUGAUACAGAUACUGGAUACAAUUAUUUUGUUAUUACAUCAAGGAAGCUGUAUGGGAUUUUUGGGAUUUAGUGUUUUGGGUUGGUUUGGGGCUUUUUUUGGUCAGAUUUUUUGAAUGGAACACAAAGAAUUAAAAUAAAUUUUUACUAUAAUAACAAUAUUAAAAUUUCAAUUCAGUGACCAGAGAAUUUUCUUAAAAGAUGUGCUACUGUACCUGGGAUUUUAAAUAACUCUUUUGUUUUUAAUUCCUCUGUCUCCAUAUUUAUGUAAAACAAUGUACAGGGUUCUAUUGUCUCUCCUCACCAUGUCCAUAAACACUCUGUCCAUGAGAAAAUUAUUCUUGGCUUGCUUUUCAUCUCUUUUUCUUUAUCCCUCAGUAUCAAGCUUCAUACACAACAGAAUGGCAGAUAGAGUGCAUGGCAGACAGCUAAUGGCUCAUAAUGACAGACUCAUAAACAAGCUAAUGCAUGGUAGGGAAGGUUAUUUUUUCUUUCAUGCCCUACCAGAGGCAUGCCCUUCCUUGUCCUCUUUGUUUUAUUGGGGUUAUGUGCAGACAGUACAGGAAAGGUGCUUUCACAGCUACUUAGUUUUUGAAACAUGCCCUUUACUUUGAAACAAGCAUGAUACCUAGUAUAUUUGAUCCAGAAAACAAAACCAUGCUUUUGAGGUGUGAAGUCUCCCCUCCAUCUGGAGGUUUGGUUGGUAGUAGAAUAAAGCAGCAGGAGAAAUGGAUCUCAGCCCUGCACAGGCAGAGCAGUGACAACCACAGGCUCCAUUUGAGUCUCUUCCGGAAGGAGGAGCAGAGCUGCCAGAACACCUCACAGCUGUUGCACAAAUGUACAUUAUAGAAUGAACUGGGAUAACAGCUCCCAGUAAUUCAUGGAUCACAGAUGCUCUGAACCAGCACUGUUCUGCAUAGUUGAUGGAAGAACUUUUGAGUAUGUUUGUUUUCCCUUAUUGACUGCAUUAUUGUUAAUCAUGCAGCACUAAUACUUUGUGGCUGAGCAGCAGGAAACCUGCCGGUUUGCUUUAUUCUGCCUGCUGCAACCUGAAUCCUCAGGAGGAGGAAAUAUUGCACCUCCCUAGGGUGAGAUCUCUUUGGUAAAAUAUGAACCAGCAAUUGAAAGCAGCACCAGAGGAAAAAUUAUGGCCAAGCCAGGUAGAAUCAUUAUCAAAAGAGAUUUUUUUUAAUCUCUCUUCUAAGCAGAAAUGAUUGUCUGUCUUUAAAAACUUACGUUAUUCUUUUGUAUUUGUCUGCUAGUAAAACAUAAAUUUAGAUAUUGAGAACACAGUUGUGGUAGUUUUAGUGUGUUCACUUUAAUGAAAAGCUGUGGGUAUAUCCACCUCAAAGCCUUGGUUCAUUCAAGGUCCUCUCAAAGAAAGUUGUUGGGGCACAAGCAGGGAAGCAUUUAAUCAGUGACAGAGGGACUUGCUUUUUUUCUGAUAGAAAAGUGUUAGACACUGCUAAUUGGAUCAUCAGGCUUUCUUGGCAUGUAGUUUCUUUCAGGAGAGCUAAUAUCAGUAGCUGUCAUUCAGAUUAACAGAUGGAAAUUUAAAGAUGACUUCUGCAAAUAAAACCCUCACUAAAUUAAUAAUGCUGAGACUUAACAUCAAGUAACAUAAAUUAAUGAGAUUUGAGGCGAAAUCAUUCAUGAUCAAAAAAACCAUGACACAAUAAAGAUACUUAAGUGGCACAAAGGAUUAAUAUAAAUGUGCCCAAACACCUUUUUAUUCCUUUGAACAGGAGCUAUUAUACAAUACACAGUCAGGUUUCCAAUGCUUUAUAUGUAGUAUACAAGGGAGAGCCAGAUGCUUUAUCAUGUUCUUUUGCUGAGAGCCAAAGCUUUACCAAAUUAAACAUUUGAUGCCAUGAAAAUAACCCUUGAGCUACUUUUUUUUCCCUCACAAUGAUGCAGUUGAUCUGGCUUAAUUACUGUCAGUUCUGUCUUCCUUCCUUGAAAGGAAGCUGAAAAGUUGAAAAGUUGAAAAUUUGCUAAGCUAGUGUACAAACUCCCACAAUUUUGAGGAAUAAGGGAAAUUGAAUCAGGGCUACAGACAGGGGGAAAGAAAGAAUGUGGUUUCUGACUAAGCAUGCAAGGAAGUCAGGUUCAUUGGAGAUGAAUGGGAAGACAGUAGAGGAAGAGGAAGGAGCUAUAUGGGGGAUAGAGCAUUGUAAUAGUAAUGGGAGAGGAAACAGUUAAUGUAAACUGCUGUUCAGUAGAGGUGGAAUGUGUGGGCAGAAAUGGAAAAUAGGAAAAACAGUAAAAAAUGAGACAAAUAUCCCAAAAUCUACACCUAAAAUUUCGAUUCAGAUGUAUAGCGUGAGAAAAAAUGCAGAUUGAGUAAACAGCCACUGAAGCAAAAGUACAAAAACAUUUGGAGGCCAAAAGACAGGAGGGAGCAAGCCACAAUGUGAUGUCAUUAGGCAUGUGAUGGUCAUUUUUAAACACAUGAAGCAAGAAGAAGAAGAAGGACACAGACAUAGGAAAGAUAUUCUGAGCAGUGAUGGGAGGGAGGAGGUAAUAUGAUGUAUGUGGAUGAUGCACAAGAUGGCGAAAGUAAAGAGCAUCCCAAUUGCAACAGAUAUCACCAGAAGAUGUCAGACAUGUAAAUGGAAGUGGAAAUGUGUUUGCAUGGCAUGGGAAGAAAAAGGAUAGAUCCAAGAACUGAAGAAAGCAAAGCUGGAAACAGUCCAAUGUAGAAGAGGAAAGAGUUGAGUGAGGCAUUAAGAAGGUAGGAAGUAUAAGGAUAUAAUACAAAAAAAAGUUGUGGGGAGUGGCAAGUGGUAUAGGACAGAAAACCAAAGGAAAUAUCUGAAAAGCACAGUGAAAAUACAUCUGCACCACUUCACCACACAAGCUUGCACUAUGUCAUCCUGACAUAGAUGGGGAAAAGAUGUUAAUUUGAAAACACUUGCAGGAAGCUGCACUCUCAGUUACCACUGUGAAUCCAUGUGACCUGGGAGAAAAACCCACUAUCGUUUUGAUCAAUAUUCUUCCUCCCAGAGGACAUUUUAUGGUUGAUUGACCUGAUAUGCCUUUAAAAAGCCAAUAUAGAAGUCAACAAAUACAGUGUCAGAAGAUAGAGAUUUUUUUCUUAGUGUCACUUUGUGCUUGUAAAAGAAUAAGAGACAUUAAGCCUCUGUCUAUUUGUUCUUCUGUAAAGACAAAAAUAAUGUGCUUGAACAGGACAUAUUAGAGCACCACACAUUUGAACUCCUAUCUGUAUUUUGAAGUAAGCAUUUACAAUCCUCAGACUUCCACCUUUCCUAUCUCUGCCACUUUCUGCUCCUUCAUACUAGAAUUUUAAGAAUGUACAUUGGCAUUUGGAAAAAUGCAACUUUCCUGUCGCUCUUUAAUUUAGACAAAACAGACAGGGUCAGGCAUUAAAUUCCAGCAUUUAUUUCAGAGUAUUCUUUCCUAUAAAAGAGUCUACAUUUGCAUGAAUACAAUAUAAAUGAAACCCCCAAGAAACCAGAAAUAUGUCCUUGAAAUUGGUAGUAGUAUUAUCUCGCAGGGUUUACUUGACUAGUUCCAGUGUCUGGGUAUGUAUGGGUAUACUUAAUAAAAAGCCCAUAUAGCAUAGCCUCUAUGUUUAGGAUUUCUUUAAGUCAGAAAAAUUUGCAUCAAAUAGAAUAUUUGUGCUUAAAUAUAAAAUAUUGACCCUUCAUCAUCACCUUAUUUUAAAAAGUCAUUUUGCACAGUGGCUCAGGUGAAGCACAAAGUAACAUCAAGGCAUAAACAGCACAUGUUCAGCAUGUAGACAGAUCAGAGCCACUCACAUUACCCUACUGAAAUCUUGGGAAAAAAAUCAUUUGCAUUAUUAAGCUAAACACACAAUAUCAAAUAAAUACAGAAGAAAAAUUUAGACAUGCUCCGUAACUUAAAUCCUGCAUGCUUUUGCACUGAAAAUCUUAUUAUUAUCUAUUAAGAAACAAUCCCAUAGUUUUCCAUUUAGAAUGCAUAAAGCUACUUUAGAAAACUGGUUGCUUAUAGAGAAUUUGAGGCUGCUGAGGCAGCAGGGGCUGGUGCACACAGGGGCAGUUCUGUGGGGGAUCAGCCAGGUCUGUCAGUACCUGUGGUAGCAGCACUGUGGAGUGAGGCAGGGAGCCUGUCCUGCCUAUUCUUUUGGUGUAUAUGUCUGUACAACCAGUAAACAGAGACAAGAGGAGCCUGCUUUCUCCCAUAGGAUAGUAGGAAUUCAAAAACAUACAGGACAAAAGACUCUAAGGAACAACAAGUUCAUGCAUUGUAGUUCUGUUUUCCUUGUGAACACGCAGCAUAUGCUGACAUUCUCUACCUCUCUGUAUGGGUGAAUGACCCAUCCAGAGACAGUUUCAGAUAUGGAAGUAUCUGGGUUUCCUUAGUUCGAUCUAAUAAUCCAUUAGCAAGUCCUAAAGCAAAUAAUUUGUGAGCUUGAGCACAGUCACUUCAUAAGUACUAUUAAUGCCAUUUUCACUAAGUUAUACAACCAAAGAUGAAAAAAGCCGCACACGCACACAAAAGAAUAAACAGGAACCGCUCCGUGGAUGUAGAUUAUCUCCUCAGAAACAAAUGAAGCCUUUCAAUUGAAUCUCAGGAAUUGAAGCUUGAUACUCCUAUAUCAUUUGGGGCCAAACAUUGUUUAGUUGAAGGAUAAAAGAGCUCAUCAGAAGUUUUCCACUUGUUUUAAUUCUGGAUUGGGUCCAAGAAAUGAAUUUUGUUGUCCUGUGCUAUUCAUGUGCAGCUGUUCACAAAUGUUAAAUUCAGUUUAAAAAGCUAUGCGUAAACAAGGUUAUUAUGGAAUCCAGCUCAAAGCCAAGACUCAUCCAAUUUCUUUGUCUGUUUUUCUCUCCAUAACUGUCAACUGGUCAUGGUGUCUUAGCUGUCAUUCUUUUACUCUUUCACAUCUUAAUGACUCUAUUUUUGUAGCAGGACUCAGGCAAAACAGGUGCAGUCAAUUUUAGAAAAUGAGAUUUCAGCAUUUGUUUUCAUUCUACACUAGAGCAAAAGACUUUUGGACCUUUUGAAAUUUUUCAUGGGAAAGGAGAUCAAGUCUAUCUUAGGAUGGCUUCUAACUUGGUAGCUGGGGAAACACUUAUUUUGCCGUCUUACUUUUUCUUUUUGUUGGUAAAACACGCAUUAAAUGGUCAUUUUCAGUAGAUUCCGUAGGUUUUGGUUUUGAUUAGAAGUUCAAGUGUUCUUGAUCAUCUUUGACAUCAGAAGCCUGAUGUCAAGAUGAAAGAAUCUAUCAAUAAAACUUAAGUUUUUCAAGAAAAAAAAAGUAUUUUCCUACAGGGUGCAAUCUAAAUGCAAAGAAGGCUUUGCUAAAAAUAAAAUCAAAGACUUAUUACAUUAGGUAGCUUUUAUUUUCAUUUUUGAAGUCCAAGAUCUGACCAGUAAAACUCUUAAUAAUUUUAAUAAUUCUCCAUACUUCAAGAAAACGAGACUUUCAAAGAAAAUGAAAAGUUACUUUAUGUUCCUCAUUUGCUCUUCUAAUAAAAUCUAAAGUUGAAAAGCAAGAUAUUUCAGUUUCAAAAUACUUGCUGAAUUUUGGAUGAAUUUUCUACUCAUGCAACCCGAAUGAGACCAUUUUUGUUGUCUUAUUGCUUUGCUUUUGGAAGCCUCCUUCUCUACAAUUUAGUUUCACUUUUCUGUAAUUCAGCCCUACAACUCUUGCCCACAGGUUUCCUUGUUCUUAAUUAUAUCUCCAUCACUUUUAAACUGUUUUCCCUUAAGGAUAAAAUUUUAGGUUCUAAAUAUUUCCUCUUUAUAUAUUAACUUUUUAGAUAACUCCGAUCUUUCAACAGCUUUCAUCUCUAACUCUGUUCCUUCUCUUCCUGCUUGCCUAUUUUAUCAUUAUCUUUUCACUGUGAAGAGCUUUUACCCUGGAUGGUAUUCCAGGGGUGCCUUAGCAGUGCUAGAAGUCUUCAAACACAUUUAAUCUCACAGUCAGUACUAUUCUUUAAAUUAUUCUUCUUGAUAUUAUUUUAUGCUAAACCCCCAAGGAUCAAAUCCUUAGCUGUUUCAAAGUGCAUACUGAAAUGAUCGUAGCUUUAUGAAUUACACUAACCACAGUACCAUCUCUGGUACACUGCGACACUGAUAUCUGUGACACUGAUAUUUUCCUGAAAAGUUAAAAGUCCAGUAUUCAUAACUAAUAAAAACCCUCUGAAUCUAAGCAUAUAAGCUUAGUCAAAGGAUAAUGAUAUCAUCAAUAAUUUUUGUCUUCUGAGACGCUGACCAUUAGCUAACAGAAAGUGUGUAUGUAGAUGAUCUUGGGCUUUCACAUGACUGUUCACCGAAAUUUUAUAUCUGUGAAGUUUCCUGAGUAAAGGGAACAGAUGGGGCAUGUUGAGAUGCUGGUUGGUAACUCUGCUGUAUGAAGUUAACUGAAGAAGCUGCUAAUCAUCACAAUUUCCAGAAUCAAGAUAGAUAGAAUUACAACUCAAAGGCAUAUUCUGUUCAGCAGGAAAAUGACCAAAGAAUAAAGAUUUUUUGCAGCUUUUGUGCUAGAAACAGUCUACAAAGUGACUGAAUUUCCAGAAAUUUAAAGCUGCUCCAGAAUAAGUUAUAUUCUGUGCUGAGUCUUUCACUCCCUACAUAUUGUGACCUUACAAAGGGUAGAAGCUAAAAGGAAUACAAUUCGAGAGCACCCAUUUUUAUCAUCACAGUUGCAGCAUUAUCAACAAGACAUAUUGUGGGUGAUAUAGGCAAGAAAUUAAUACCAUUUUUACAGAAUGAAUGCUCACACUCCUGCACUCAGUCUCUCUCUGACUCUCUCUUAUGCCUGAUGAUAAAAAUUUCUUUAAUAUAUCACCUAUUAAGCUUCAUGACUAUUCAGAAAUUGUUAGAAAAAAUGUCAACACUUUCUUUUGGUACUCUAAAAUUUAAAGAAAGGGAAAAUGGAAAGGAAGAUGCUUCACAUUUUCUUUGAAUUGUUGACAUAAUGUAACGUUCAAUCACUGCAGCCAAAUGCAUUAUUCUGAGAAAAAUUUUAAUAUUAGAAGCUUAUAUAUUCCAAAAGCUGUAAUUCAAUGUAAGAAUAAGAGAAACCUGAGCUCAGUCCCUGUGGAAUUAUUAUCAUCAAUAUUGUUUUCUUCUCUAAAGUUUUUUUUUAUCUAAAACUUUUACCUAUCAAAGAAUCAAAAACUUCAAAUUGGAAGUUUGGUUAUUCUUAGUGUUUGCUUAUCCAUGAUGGGACCUAAAGUCACUUUUCAAACAAAAUUCACAAUAACACUCUCAGACCACUAGAAGUAGUUCUGUAUCUUUAGAACUCAUUAUUCUUGUCCUCACAGGAAAUGGAAUGUGAUGGCAAAAUUUCCAGUUGUAGGUGCACAGCCAGUGCAACUACCACACCACUAUUCUAUGAAACUUCAGUCUCAGGAUGCUACAAGACUUUGAAACUUUUAGAACCUCUGGAUUUUCUUAGCCGUAGUGGAGUGUGUUCCCUUUUAUUUUACAUGCAUUCUUUUGAGGUGUUCCUGGGUCAUUAUGCAUCCUGGGGAAAAGAAAGAAAAUCAGAGGAAAAAAAAGCUACUCCUCAGAUGAAGGUGAAAUGCAUGAUCCAUAGCAUUGUGGAUCUGUAGCAUGUAAAUGAAGGUACACAAAGAAAUGAGAUGGUAUAUAAAAACUUGCAGAAUAGGAGUUAUUUUUGAACUCUUGUAAUACUUUACACUUAAAGAAAUUACGGUGUUUAGAGACAUCCAUACAGAAUCACAGAAUAUUCUCUGUUGGAAGGGACCCACUAGGUCCCUUCUCCUAGUCCAUCUCAAGUGAAUGGUUCAUACAGAGAUCAAAUGCACAACCUUGGCACUAUCAGCACCAUGCUCUAACUAACUGAGUAAAUAUAUUAUCUGAGAAAUUAUUGGACCUGGGUAGUACACAAGUAAAAUCAAACAUUCAUUUUAGAAACAAGUAUCUGAUCAUCUUUUAAAUCCUUCAGGUAUUCUUGGUCCCACGACUCUUUCCCCAGGGGAUACGCAACAUACCAAUACUUGAUUUUGCAAAAUAAAUGAUUAGGAGAUUCUAAUCAAAACCAAGCUGAACUAUACCUAUUUAAAAUUCAUUUCUACUUUUAGACCUGACUUUCACAUUCAUCAAGUCAGUGAAAAGUGACUAUGUUAAGUAGGUAUGAAUCAUGCUCCACAUUUAGCUAUCCAUCUCUUAAACUGGGGCCAGAGCCAAGAUACUCUCUCUAGUUUGCAUGGGAUGUCUAACUUUUAGACAAGCUAAAAUUAAGUGAAAUGAAUCAAAUCCAUAAGUUACUCGAGGCUUUAAACGAAAUCUGAAAUUGAACUCUGUCCCACAGGCAUAAAAAUGUUUCUUAAACAUAAGACCAUAUUUCUUCCUAACAUUAUAUGUAAGAAUACUGUUAUCUCUGGCACUACUUGAAGUUUAAAAGCCUAGCCUGAAGUUAACAUCUUACCAUAUGUGUUUCAUAGAAUUUUGCAGUUUUGUUUGGUUUGGGAUUUUUUUAAAGACAGAAAAAAGGAAGGCCAAACAUAAAAAGAUGGAGCUGUACUCCCCAGGAUCUGAAGCUUUUCUAGCUUUAUCAGCUCCUGCAGGGGAAGGAUCCUCAUGAGGGGUCUAUUCUUUCAAGUUCCUAACAAAGUGUGAUGGUAAUCAUCCCUAAGCCUUUAUAGAAUAGAGAAAUUCAUGUGUCUUUUUGCACUACUAAGCUGAGAAAGACCACACACUGUAUACUAUAACCUUUCCUGUGAUUGCCUCAAAUAUGUUUUGUCUUAUUUAACGAUACUCUUCAUUAUGGUUUUUCUAUACCAAUGGGAAAAAAAUUAUAAAAAAACUUAUCUUAUGCCAGUUUCCUUCCUUGGAAUGUACUUGAGAUAAAUCAUACACAUGCAAAUACUUUCUUUUCUUGAAUCCAAGGAAUUCUAAAUUUCCAGAGGAGAGAAACCUCCUUCACACAUUUAACAAAUAGAACAACGACAUGUAUUCUAGAUAAUUAAACAGAAACUUCUGUUAAUUUUGAUGUUAUCUUUCUAUGUAAAAUUGAAAAAUGGGAAAUCUCUGUUGUUUUUAUGACAAUUUAAGAAAUUUUUGCUCCUACCUAUGUUACAUGUUUUUCUGUCCACUUCUACAUAAAAAUAUGGAGAAAUAUUUUUCAUUAUCUUUCUGCAAGAAAUUUCUUGCACGUUCUAUAUACUUAAAAUCAAGCAGUUUUUUUUCAAUUAAUUUUCCAUUUUUUAGCUUAAAUUAAAUUAAUCUUCAAAAGCAAAUAAAUCAUUUUUGUUAGAUGAUGAAACUUUGAAUGUGUUACAACUGCUAAAUUAAUUUCAAGCAGAAAGAGAUACACUGUUUUGGUUAUAGUUUGCAGUCUUGCCCCAAUUAAGAAUUGCCACAAUUAACAAUUACCAAAUCUUUCCUGAAGAAAGUUAAGUGUCUUUAUUUGUAUCUUAAAUUCAAAGAGGCAAGUCCAAAGAUGAGCAGUAAUUCUUGCACAGUUAAGAAAAAUACUAAAAUAUUACAGAGCUUUACCAUUCUUUUAAUCACUGGACUAUCCUAAAAAAGAAAUCAUAAUAAAAAGGAAAUUAUUAUAAGCAGUAAUAUUAAUUCUUCCUCUGAACAUAAUUUUAAAAAUUGGAAAAGAAGUCAGUUCCAGAAUGUAGGGGCAAUAAAGGCAUUAUGGAAAGGACAUUGUAACACAAGUUUUGACUCCCCUGGUGACAGUGGUUCUGUGCAGACACAGAUGAGUGUCCAUCUGACUGUUCCCCUGAGCUCAGAUGGACCAGAAAUUAUUCGAUUUGCAACCAAUGAGCAAUUCUUCCUGUGAUAGCUGAAAUUUUAUGAGAAAAAUAUGCUUUCAGCAUCUUCAGUUCUAACCCAAAGAGAUUGUAAUGAAUCUUUAUACUUUGCAGAAGAGAAAAGUGGGGAAGUGAUAGAGGUUCUUGGAAUUCAGAUAUUGUUUAACCUCAGAUAUCUGGUGCUAAUUUUCACUUAGCAUUUGUACACUCAUUUUGAAUUUCAUUUGCCAUGGAAGUAAAAAAGGGAAUUCUAGAAUAUAAGAUCUGCCCAAAAGGUCUCUAUAGAUGCUUCAGACUCUGCUUAGACUUCAGCUUUCUAAUGAAUAAGCUUACCUGUAACUCGACAGUUCAGUAAAAUUUAUUGCAAAAAUCCAAGUCUUUAUUGAAAGCUCUCAUGUGAUCACCCCAGUGUAUUUGAGAUCUAAUUGGAUAAAUCCCUUUGGAACCAAAUCUGUUAACAUUACUUAUUGGUUUGAUUGCUGUCAUCACCAAACACUGGUGAUGGAUCCCCCACAGGUAAGGUAAACAAAAAACAAUUGUGUUUGCAUUUUAAAAGUAAUUAAAUAUUAGGGCAUGCUAAGGGAAUAAAACAGGCUUUCUUUUUUUCAUGAAAAACCUUUGAACUUUAAAAUAACCCAUUUUGCUUGAAUAAUAUUUUUUUUACUCAUUGAUUCAUGGAAUUUUCUUUACAUUUUAAAAGCCAUUCCACCACUGCAGGAUGCUUAGUGCGUGAUCAGCAGUGGAUGUAUUUGUCUCAAAUGAGUCAUCUGCCUUCUUCUGCUGAGAUCAGCAGCAGGCUGCUCCGCCUUGAUUUGCUCUGUACUAAAACAUACUCUUUGCCUUCAUUCCUCAGUAAGAAAAGGUGCAUGACAACCAGACCUAAAAAGUCAUGUCAUCCUGUGGACUGGCAAUCAGUUAUAGGGAGGUUUUGUUCUUCUGCUCUGAUAGCUGUAUAUAUAGAUGGUUUUCAUUUAAUAUAGAUAUAGUAAAAAUACUGCUAGAAUUCACUGAAUCUUUCUCAUUUUUAAUUCUCAGAUAACACCUGAAUGACUAAAAAAACUUCAUAAUCUUUUAGUUCCAGGGGAAACCAAACCUCUGACUUACAUUCAAAGCAUUCAUUAGGAGACAACCAUUAAAUCUGCUGUACAGAGAAUGACUUUUCUCUGUCUUCUUUGUAAGGAUCCCGGUCAUGAUCUUUUAUUUCCUCAUUAAAAUGAUACCAUCUUCUUUCCUAUAUGUGACCUGCUUCAGUCUUGCAAAUGUUGCUAGUAUUGAUCUAUACCUGACUUGAAGAUAAUAAGGUUUUGCAACAAAACCUGUGGGAUUCUGAAAGCUGCCUGCAAAGUCUGAUCUUCCGCUGAAGUUAAGUGGGUUCUGCCUGUGCUUCUGUUUUUCCCAAGUGCUUUUGUCAAUUUCUGCUUUAAGAUAUAUUAAGUACUUUUAAGCAGUGCCUUUAGUUUAUUGGUACUCUAGUCCUAAUUAUAUGACCAAGCUAUAUACCUUUGCUUUUAAAACACAUUUAUUGACAUCCUGUCAGGCAGUACAUUGAUAUUUAUACUUAAAUUGUUUGGUUUAAUGUAUGACUUGGCCUUGACUCCUGUUAUCUAGAAGAAUUAUUGAUUCUUUCUGAACCCAGUUGGAUCUGCAAUCUUCAGAUACAAGCUUGUUAACCAACCCAUAUCUAAGAUCAACAACUUUGACAGAGUUUGCCUUAGGGGAAAAAGGAGGGUGUUACAAACCCCAUGUGUUGAAUAUUGUGCCUUUGUGGCUUGCAGAAGCCUUGGUGGUAGAACUAUCUGUUUCUGAAUUGCUAAAAAAAUAGUUCACUUCACUGAUUUACACUGAGCUAUAUUUAAACAAAAGCCAACGAAGAAAAUCUCUACAUUACUUUGGAUUAUUGCAGCAUGUUUCUUUGUACUGUUAGUGCAUUACUAGCUGAGGAACAUACCUAUAAUCAAAUACCAGAUCAAGUAGUUCAGUACUUCUGUCUUUUAUUACAGAUUUUGCACUACAGUCACUUUGAGUUUCCCCAGUAGGACCUGACCCUGGGAUUAGCUCAUUUGCUUAGAGCAUGGUGGUCAAAGGUCCAAUCCCCUUAUGGGCCAUUAACUUUAGAGAUGGACCAGAUGAUCCCUCUGGGUCCCUUCUAGCUCAGGCUAUUCUGUGAGUGGAAAAUCUGUAUGUCCUUUGCUAAGACUGUCUGAUUGAGGACUUUUUCUGUGCAAAUGCAGAUAAUAAAGGGCAUAAGAAACAAAAAAACAUAGACAUGUAGACUUAACACAUAAAUGUAAGACCAGGACAAAAUCAAAACCUCAUUAGUCACACUACAUUACUGAUGGGCUAUCAAGAGCCCACAGACAAAGUGAGGACUUCUGACCAGGAAAGUCAUGGAUGGUGGAGGUUGGAGGGUGGUUUUCAGUGUGACUAUGAAAAAUCAUGAAGGACUGAAACUCAUGAAGGGUCCUACACCUGGACAAUGGCAAUCCUGGACACAGCUAGAGGCUGGAUGCAGAACAAGAGCAGCCCUGCAGGAGAAGGACUUGGGAGUGACUGCUGAUGUAAAGCUCAACACAAGCCAGCAAUGAACAAGGAGGAACAUGAGAAAAAAGGAACAAGGGUGGACUAUUUAACUGACUAGCCUGAGAACACCAGACCAAUAUGUAAGCUAUACUUCUUUUACCUUCCUGUUCUAGAAAAAUGUAGGUAGUUGCCAAUAGAGGACAAGAUGAAAAAUGUAUGCUGGGGCAUCUGUAUUCAAAUAUCAAUUUGGAUGAAAUUAAUUUUACUUGGGAAUUCAAAUUUGGCAUUUUAAAGCAUUUUUAUCUUUAUGCAUUUUUAAAGGUUAAAUACUAAGGCUGGGGACUGGGACAAGUUGUGUAAAAUACCCAGAGAAAUUUCUAGGAAUAGUUAUUAGAGACAAACAAUGUAUGCUAUAAAUGCAGUUCUGACCAUAUAUUACUGGGAAGGAAUUCUUUGGGUACUUGCGAAAAGUCAGAUUUAUCUCUUUAUGAAUUGCAAGACCCAUGGAAAGAGGUUAGUUAUUUCUGAAAUACCUUUGGAAUUCCAGACAAAGAGGGCAUUAUCUUAGAAAUAUCAUAGCAUUAUGUUAUGAUGAGGUAAAAUAUUUAAGAGAAGAAGGAAUUAGGCUCAUAUAGCUAAGUUUAGAAUAAAAUUCCAGUUUUCCUUUCUGGCAAGAAAAUAUCAAGAAAAUGACUGUUGCAUUACUUACAGAGUCCUGUAAUACUCCAAUAUCUUCUCUCUCAGUUCUCCAAAUAGUUCUUGUUGCAAGUAAACGUUCCAAAAGAGUUGCGUACACCUUUAUUCAUAAUUUAUCUUUGUAUUAGGGGAUAAUUUUAUUUAGAAAAUAGAGUGACUGGGCUUAAGGAACCAGAGCAAAAUGGCAGUAUAACCUACAAAAUAUAAGCACAAAUUCACUAUGUGAGCCAAGAAGGAUGUAGCCUUCCCCCUAUUUAUAUUCUGCCCAAAAUGAUCCAUGGCAAGAUUGCAGUCACAUAGUAAAAAAAAGGAGUCUGUGAUAGAAUAAAAUUACACUAAUGUUCACAUCAAGGUUUUCAUCAGGGAAAGCUAUGCUUAGUGGAAGGUUUUCUCAUAUGGAUUGGAUUUUGGCUAUUGGGUUGUGCAAGGACCUUGUUUUCUUAUUAGCUAUGUAUGUAGAAGGAGAAACCUCAUAGAAUGAGCUAACUCAAAACCAGCUAUGUCUGUCAUUGGGUCUACUAACAAUGCUGUUGAUGUUGGGUCUGUCAUAACAAAAUUUUUUCUUCCUUUCUUUAAAUCUUGAUGAUGGCAGAAUGGACACUGGAAGACUAGCAUCAUGAUUUGGAAAAGAAGAAUAUGAAAAAAAAUUCUGCUUCUACAUUUCCAAGAAGUCGUGGGAUCUUCCUCCAAUGCAUUGCACAAGAAAGUUUGUGAACUGCCAAGUAUCCUCAUGAUUUGCUCACCUUUACACUUAUUGGAAAAUUUGGACCUGUGCCAGCCGGUGUGCAGUGGUGUGUAGGAAGCCUCCCAGGAACUGGUCUCUCAAGUCCUACAGAACAAGCAGAUAGCUCUGAAUCAUUCAGGACCAGGCUCUUGGCAGCAACUGUGGCUCACAGGGGACCCACACUGGAGCAGUCUGUUCCCGAAGAAUGACCCAUGCUGGAGCAGGGGACCGGCAUGACCUGCAACAGGGUUACCACACUUCGGGAAAUUCACUCUUUAUUUCCCAGAACCAAUGGAAAGAUCCAUGUUUAGGCCAUCUGAAACUCCGUCCAAUAUCUGGAAGUAGAUGCUGCCAAGAGCUGGGGAAUAAGAUGAAUUUGGCCCUGUCUGAUCUACUGAGAACCUUGGAUGUUAACGACAGUACUGGCUUAAAAAAUGUCUGUUUAUUUAUUUUCUGAUAUAUUCUUCUUGCUUCUUUUCACUGAUGACCAUUAGUGGAUGUAAAUGUAAGGCCUGUCUCUUUUUCUCUCACUCAUUUAAUAUUACAUUAUUUGUAAUCUCUAGAACAAUCAGUGAAAGUAGACAUAUCUAUUAAUUUCUUUAUUCCAUUUGCUCAGACUACGCGAUUUCUGCUCUGUCAGCACUCUCUCUCAUUCAAUACAUACCAGUCAGUGCAUGGCAUCACCUUCCUUAAAAACUGGAAAGACUACAAAUAAAAGAAAAAAAAAUGUUUUUACUAUGGGAUGGUAAUUCAGAAAUGUUCUCAUCAGUAACAGACAUAGUCUCUUAGAGUCAUUGUUAUAUAUAUUUUCCCUUACUUUGCAACAAAAGUUUAUCAAAAGCCAGUAAGUAGCAUUUCUUGGUGACAAUAGCAUUUUAUGUUCUGAUGCCCUCUUCUAAAGACAAAUAUUUAUCUAAGGCAGAUUAAAGGCCAGAUAAACAAGCAGAGUUUAUGGGCUGCUAGUUCUUUUGCAAUAUCCAGGAAAAAAAGUCCUGAACUGCACUAAGAAGGGAACAGCGAGAGAAAAUACAGGUGUAACAAAUGGCAAAGGAGUAGAUGUAAAAGAGUAAAUGCAGCUGGCCAAGCCUUACUAAACUAAGAUGACAACAAGAUGAGAAAUGGCAGAAAUGAAAAACGAUGUAUAAAAAGAGGCAUUACCUUACAGAACUGCUGACCAAGGUGUAAUUUUUCAGGUCAACCGCAUCAUGAAUAACAAGAAGGUGUAAAAAGUCAGCAGAACUGAGAUCCCUGGGGAAAGAGUAAAUAGGAAUAGCUGAUGGUAAAGAUGAAGAAACUGGACUGUGAAAAGAGCUGUAGGAAAAGGUAGUAAAUCAUGUCAUUGGGGAGUGAUCAGGAACAUGUCACACAGCCAGUGCUUCAUCACAAUUUAGAGCAGGACACUGGAACCUCUUUCCACUGUAAUCAUGUACAACUUACCUCCAAGACCAUGUGGGACAUGAGUCAACUCUCCCUAUCAUCACUGAGGGAACAUCAGGACAUUAUUCCUAAUAUCAACCAGUAGAUGCCUGGAGAGUACAACUUAUCAAGGCCUUUUACUCUCUUUAGCAUCUGAACCGAGUGUCACAUUACAAUGCUUUUUUACAGCUUAUUAAAUAUUUAUAGAGUAUAUAUUAUAUAAAUACAAAUAUAUAAAUAUUUAAGAUAUAAAUAGCUUAAACAACAGAGAUGAAGAAUCCCACCCUUUCUACCAUUUUUGGGCUGCUUUUACUUUGGGGAUGGUGUUCAUCCCUAAUGCAAGAGUAGGAAUUGAAACCUUUUAAUGAGCAUAAGAUCUUGUUGGCUAUAGGGGUUUUCUUUCAAAGGUCUCAGUAUUUUGUGAUGAAAAUGGCAGGGAUCAAUGACCUGGGUUCCACUUAAAGCCUUCCCAAAAAUUUCUAAACUAUGACAGAGACAUUUUGAAUAUGUUGUACUGUCUUGCUCUCUAAUGGAAAUUAUUAACAUUUGGUUUUAAGUAAGCAAUAGGUGAGGACUGAACCCACUCUUUUUGCUCUUGCUGAUGUAACCAUAUGUUUCAGUGUAGCUGGAGAGAAAAUACUAAAGGAAAAUUAAAGCAAACUACAUUUUAAAAUGGUGCAAUUAUGUAGGAUAAAGAAUUUAGGUAGUUCAAUAAAACAGUUUAACUUGGAAUAUGUAUGGGUAAUAGUUGAAUUUUAUUUUUUUAACCUGUCGCUUUAAAAUAUACAUGCUCACACUCUGACAUAUUGUAGCAUCUAUAAGAGCUGGGCAUAUUUUAGAUUAACAGUAUGCAUCUUUAAUUAUGCUCUCUGUAGUUAAUAGUUUUGAGAACUCUGCAGUAUUAAAGAUCUUUAGCCUUUCAAAAAGGUUUUCCCAAGCUUCUCUGACUCGUAGCCAACACCAGUGUCAUAUCAGUCCCCAGGGGAUUCACAGAUGCAUAUACCCUAAAUUUUUUCCCAGAGAGAUUAAAAAAAUUACUGUUUAGUACUUACAAUCAAGCUUUGUUCUCCAUGUGAAAUCUUCAGCUCUGUACUGCUGUUUGUGACUGUACAGCAGUUGAUAGCCAGCGGGACUAGGUUUUCAGAUUAAAUAGUCUUAGUAUAGUAUCAUAAAAUAUAUAUAAUAAAAUAUAAACAAUUAUAAAUAUAAUACAGAUAUAUGUUAUAUAAUUUAUAUCAUAUAUACAACAAUAGUAUCAUUAAAAUAAUUAAAUAAUGAUUAAAAGUUAUUAAAAGAAAUUGUAUCCAAAUGCAGAAAUUACUAUCCAAGUUGAGCUACAAAUAAACAUCUCUGUAUAACUAUCUGUUCAUAGUAUGAUAAUAUAGUUGAUAUGAUAAUAAUGUUUUAUUGCUGCAGAUCUCCAGUAUCAAGUGAUUUCAAAUGUAUGCGAUACAAAAAAGAGAUUAUUGCACAUCAGACAACUGACUCAUUUAUGGUUUCCUAAUAUGGUUUCUUCCUGAGGCACAAGAAGCUCAGAAGUUGCAUAAAACGCAUUGAUUCAAACCUGCUCUUCUCAACAUUUUUUUAUAUAUAACAUACAUUCAAGAAUAAGAUAUUUACUCACCAGGUACAUGCAUGGAGGAAUGGGCAAAUAUCACAUGUACCAGGUGCUGUACUGAGUUUGCUAAUUGUAGUUGAACUUAGGGAUCUCAGCCUUCAAAAAUGACCUUGGAAAACCAGAACAGUGUCAACUGCACCACUCAGCUUGGUGUCAUUUGCAAAUUUGCUUUAGGCUGUGUCAAAGAUGAAGGUAUUAAAUAACACUUGUCCCGUUAAAGACCCCUGAGGGACACCACUUGUCUAUGAUGUCCACUGGGGUCCCUAGCUAUUAACCACUACCCUUUGCAUGCAACCACCCAAAGAUGUCCCUGCCAUACCAGAGGGGUUGAAACUAGAUGAUAUUUGAGAGUCCCUUUCACAUUCUAUGAGUAAAUAAAAUAGAAAAUAUAGAAUUCAAAUAAAAGUUUGAAAGAAAAUGAAAGCUGCCAUAAAACUGUCUUUUUAUUUCCACAGCCCCUCAUUGUCUUCCAUUUAUUUACAGUCUUCUAACAUAAAAUCAUUAAAGCUUUAGAUUGUCAAAAAGAAAAAGGCAAUUUUCUCUGCACUGAGAUUCAGUGUAAUCAUUGCAGAAAAGAUUACUAAUGCAGUUUUAUACCUGUUGAUAUGAAUUCAGAUUGAGAAAAUGGUUAUUUUCUUGUAUAGUCUUGUAUUGUUAGCAUGAAAAUUCUUAAAAUAAAUUAACUAUUACUUUUGAGUUUUACUUUUUUUAAUGUUUCAUUCACUAAGUGAAGUUGUCCAUAAGAAAUAAAGAAAAUAAACAAAGAAUUAACAAAACAAUAACACUGAGGUUAGAUUUUUUAGAUUAAGGAAAUGGGACAGAAAUUAAUACAACUAGAGGAGGAAAAACUAAGUUUUAUGCCUCAGAGUUUGCUAAAUAAUCUUUGAAAAUAUCUCACUGCAGUGCUUUAGACUGACAUGAAUCAGGUGGUGACUUGAUCUGUCUAACAUGAAAAUAUUUGGGUUUUUGGAAAAAUCUAUUCUCUUUGGUUUUCAUGGAGCAUCAGGAGCUAUGAAAUUAUGUUUUCCACUAACUUGCAGUGCAUUAAAAUUGCUACACAAUAAAAUUACUUUUUCCCAUGACUUGGUAAAGUUAAAUGAGGCAAGGGCAGAACUCUGUCAGACUUUUAUAUCACUGUCUUUAUAUUGUAGCAGCUGAAAGCUAAUAAUGAGUGUUAAAUAACCAAUAUCAUGUGUAGACUUGACAGCUGACAUGCUUUAGCAUCAAAUUUCUGGAUCUGUUUCUUCCACAGAAAUGCUUUCUGUUAAUGAAUCCCAGGACUAAGAACAGGCAACUGUCAGGCUGUCCAGAUUAUUCUAAGCACAAAAUUCACAAAAGAGAAAACAAACACUAUGAGAGGUUAGCUCUAUAUAUUAUAACUAAAUUCUUGCCAUUCAGGUAUACUUUUCAGAGUACCUUUUUAUAAGAUACAAUUUUUGCAUACAUCAGGUAAAUGUCAUGUGCAUAUUUGUGAAUGAAUAUGCAUAAAUAUAGAGUGCACUGCUCUGUCCUAAGAAGCACAUCUGAAAAGGCUGCAUAUCCCCAGUUAGGUGGUCUGGACAUACACAAGCCUUCAUAAGGAUUCUGACAUUGAAAUGCCUACCUAUUGUCAUCAACUGAAGAGCACAUGAGGAGCUCUGAACAUGAACUAUGUGCAAGUCUUGCGAUGGGAUGAACUCAAAACCGCUCAAUUAUUAAGCAGAGGUGAUUUAAAUAGCUGCUCUAUUGUGGUCUAGUCUGGUAAAUGGCUUUCUUUAAACCUUGAGCCUGAUGUGCUAAAUUUGCAGCAAGUGUUCUUGGGGACUCUGAAAAGCUAAAAAUAGUUAGACAUGGAAAUACGAUCAGGUUAAGCAGUACUAAUUUUUUUGGGAAUACCAUAAUUGACUAUUGACAGCUGUGUAGUGUAAUGAGCAAGAGAUCUUAAGAGAUCUUUGGAACUUAUGAGCAUGAAUCAAAUUAGAAAAAGACAGCACCAGAUGAAAAAUAGAACAGUUAUUUUCAGGUGAAGAUGAAAAACAUAAUGGAAAUUUCCAGGGGAAAAAAUCCAGUGAAUAUAGCUGGAGUAUGGACAGCUAGAUUGAGAUAAGGUUGUCCUGAAUAUACUGGCAGAAAAAAAAAAUGCAUAGACUAGAAAAUUCAAACAAAUAACAUUUUGAUUUAUUUUUGAAGAACUCUACCUUACCACAUUUUGGGGAAUACCUUGUAAAAAAAUCAAAUGCCAAUCAAUCAGAUAUCAAAAAUCACUGAAAAGGAAGCUUUAAAUGUGUUUGAAUAACAGAUAGGUUGCCUCAGGAACAUCCUAAGUUUACUCAGAAUUGCCAGUGUAAUCUAUUACAACAGCACAUCAAGCAGCACGGAAGGAAAUUUACCUGGCAAAGAAACAAAUUUUUAUUACAACAGACAUAUUUGUUAUGAAAAACAGCCAUCUCUACUGACAGUAUGAAGUUACACUCUCUCCUGAUCCUAGAAGAAAAUACCUGUUUGGUAUGAUGUUAUCACCAUUCUUUCUGAUAUUACUGUUUGUUUAUUAUUUAUCAUGGCACCUAUGGACCUUCCUCAUAAUCAGGGCUUGCAGAGAGCACAAUACAAGCACAAAACACCAAAAACUAAUGUUCCACAGAACUAGUAGGUUUUCUAGCUCAUCUAAGUGGAAAGAGAGAAGCUCUUAUCCUCUUUGCACAAUAAGACAGGACAUGAAAAAGGUGGCCCCACUUUUUUGCUGUGCCACAAUCUUCCAUCCAAAACUGCUGAGCAGUUUUUGAUUUCUAGUCAAACUCCAGUUCAUUCCACUUGCUGCAGUCCUGACUCAUGUCUUCCACACUAGUCAUGUCAUAAUCCUAUUGAUAUAAAACAUUAAUGAGCUGUAGCAAGCAUGGAUUGCUUUUUCAUUGAGCUUUUCUUUUCCCUGUAUCUAUUACAAACAUACUUACCAUCUUCACAUGGCAUGUCUAUUUUCUUUGUAAAAAAACCAUAUAUCCAGUAGCUAAAAUCUUCCAGUAUUUUUCAGGUACUUCUGGUAGUUGUUAUUCUCAUCCAGAAGCACAAUUCCUUGGAUGGUAGUUAAUCAACAAAGCACUUGGCCACACUGACUGUCUGCCACAUCUGGGACCUGCAGUUUCUAGGGGCAUCUUUUAAAGCCAGAAAUAACUGGGUUUUAGCAUUUGCCAUCUUUGACAGAGUAUUCACAAAGUGCUUGGCUAACUAAUCUGAUUUGUUGUAACAGAUCACUGCUUGUUAAUAAAGAGCACCUUGGGCACAAGUAUUUGUGCCCCCCCAAAGUCCAUACAGGCCUGUGCGAGCCUGAGUCAGGUGGUUUUGGUCUGCCCUAUAUCUCUUCCACCCUUUCUAGGAUAUCUCCUUCUGCCCUCCUUGACUUUCAUAAGUCUCCUUUCUACUCACAAUAUUCAUACAAUGAAAUUCACUAAGGAUAUUUUGCUGAAUUAAAAUUCACUUCUCAUUAAUGUGAAUAAAGCUUAAAUGAAUCAUUUAUUCUGCAGUAUUUACUGACUUACAGAUAAUAAUCUUGCAUUACAACUAGUAGGUAAAGGUCAGCUUGCAUGAUUCACUGUUAAUUUGUUUUCAUUUAAACUAAUUUACUUGGAAUUUGUACAGCAUUGGCUCCCUAAGGGAAUGCAGCGAAAACUAUGACCUGAUGACAAGUAGAACAUUAAAUUAUAACAGAAUUAUUAAUAAAAGAAUCUUUUUAUAAUUUGUUAAAAAUAUUGGGAGAUAUUAGCAACUUAUUUAUGUAAGAUAUGGAAAGUACGUCUGUAAUAUAAUUGCAUAUAAAUUAAAAAUUUGUCUGGGGAGAUUGUACAGUGGUCAUAGUUUUAAGAUGAUUGGCAGAUAUAUUAACAUUGAAUGCCCCAGGAGAAAGAUAAUGAAUUCUGGGUUUUGAUUUUUUUUUUAUUUCCAAGGAGAGCGUUAGUGUGUUCUUUUGUUUGUGAUGCUUGACAAUGUCAUAACUAGUUGACUUAAAAAAAUGAAGUCACUUACAUUGCUGGUCUUGCUAAUAGCUAACUGGGUUAUUUUCACUUUCAUUUAGCUUAGGAGACAGAGCUAGAAAAAAGAAUGAAUAACAGUCUCAAGAAAUAAAAGGAAACUUGUUUCAAGUACAUGCAGAUAAGAUAUUUUAGGUGUCAUUGAAUCUUUUCUUAGAAUAUAGCUUCUUCACUUGUUGACUGGAAAACCAAAGAUAUGCUUUCUAAAUUAGACCCCCUAGCUCUUUUGUUUAUUUAUUGUGACAUGAGAAGUAAUGUAUUAAUUAAAAAACUUGCCAGCCAUAGAUCUGACCUAGGUAAUCUGAUUUAGGUUAGUCUAUAACCACCUGAAGUCUAUAACUAAUUUAUAGACUUCUGCAUGACUAUAGGAUGGCAACUCCAGAUGCCUAAAUAUAGUCAGAAGUGGUAGCUCAAAACACUCCUUUAUUUCCCAUUAACAACAGAUACUGACAUGUUUGCACUCUGCUCACUCAUCAGACUACACAGACAUUUUCUUCACUUUGUUAAAAUAUAUUUUCUUUGUUAAAAAGGUAAUAUUUGCACAUGUUCUUACAUGUCACAUCAUAUGACAGUGACAGCUAAUGCUCAUCUCUAGUUAAAAAUAUAGCUACUGAUUAACACUGUUCUUAGUAAUACACAACAGGAUGUACUGCAAUGUAGUGGGAAGAGCAGAAAAAGAUCAUUUAGAAGACCUGACAUCCAAUUUCUUGGAACUGACACAUGCUGAAUAUGCCCUUAACACCUUUUCAAACAUAAUAUACCUGACAGCCUAUUUUAUCACAUGCUUACAGAAACCAGUUUAACUUUUAUUUCAAAGGCUCUCCUCCAUAUUGUACUGUAAAAAAUGAGAAAACUUAUUAAUCUCUAAAUGCUUAACUUGUCCAUUUUGUCAUAUAAACCCAUUACUGAUAGAUCCUAAAUUUUAUUUUAAACUACAUAAUACCCAAAGUAUUUGUAUAAUUUGAAUAAUAUUGUAAAGUGUAAAUAUUUGGAAGAUUCCAUAAAAAAAAGGCUUAUUUAAUAAACAGAUAAUUAAAUAUUAGCAGCAAAGAGACCUGGCUGGAUGUGUAUCUAUCUUUGUCUAAUAAUGCUAAUGGAUUUUAUGAAUAUAAUUUUAUUAAAUAUGAAUAAUUUAUUAUGUAUUUAAUUUGUGGAGUAAGCUAGCAAAAUUUCUCUCAUGCAAGACAGUCUUAGCAUACUUCAAGAUUCGUCUUUCUUUUGCAAUAUAUGCCAGGAAAUGUAAUGUCUUUAUUUCUCUGUCUAGAGACAUGAAUAUUUUUUUGGUAAUUUUUAAUGUUACUUUAAAAAAAUGAUAUUAAUUUUUCCCCAGUUCAUUUUUCCAUACCUGGGAAGACUUGUGGGAACACCUACAUGACCUGAGGUCUGGUGGGAUUUCAUUCUAUGUUACUAGCAUAACCUGAGAGCAUAUAAUUGUCCAGAACUCUUCACCAUCUAACUUCAUUUGUUGGUUUCAAAUAUAAACCAUGUUCAAUAAACAAA